rfam:Talaromyces islandicus isolate WF-38-12 genome assembly, contig: WF-38-12_scaffold00002
GUCCGAGAAGCUCAAUUGGUUGAGCGGAAAAUUGAAGAUUUUUAGGUUACAAGUUCGAAUCUUGUCUCGGGCA